AGCGAACGCUGGCGGCAGGCCUAACACAUGCAAGUCGAACGAACUCUUCGGAGUUAGUGGCGGACGGGUGAGUAACACGUGGGAACGUGCCCUUAGGUUCGGAAUAACUCAGGGAAACUUGUGCUAAUACCGAAUGUGCCCUUCGGGGGAAAGAUUUAUCGCCUUUAGAGCGGCCCGCGUCUGAUUAGCUAGUUGGUGAGGUAACGGCUCACCAAGGCGACGAUCAGUAGCUGGUCUGAGAGGAUGACCAGCCACACUGGGACUGUGACACGGCCCAGACUCCUACGGGAGACAGCAGUGGGGAAUCUUGCGCAAUGGGCGAAAGCCUGACGCAGCCAUGCCGCGUGAAUGAUGAAGGUCUUAGGAUUGUAAAAUUCUUUCACCGGGGACGAUAAUGACGGUACCCGGAGAAGAAGCCCCGGCUAACUUCGUGCCAGCCGCCGCCGUAA
rnacentral:rRNA from 1 species